CCCAGGACACAGCUAUGAGCGAGCUCAAACAAUUUCUGUGCUCUGCCCAAUGCCUGGUCUACCCAGACCCAGGAAAGGAAUUCUAUCUGGAUGCUGGAUUCUCCAAUCACUACCUCAGUGCAGGCCUGUACCAGCUCCAUGACAAAGACAAGCAAGUGGUCGCUUAUGCCAGCAAAACACUGCUUCCCCCAGAAUGCAAAUACUCAGACUGCGAAAAAGCUUUGCUUUGCACUGUGUGGGCCAUCCAGCGUUUCUCCAACUACAUUGGAGCUCAGAAGGUUAUCAUUGAAACCUGUCACCAGCCAGUAACCUUCCUCAACAGCCAACGAAUCAGAGAUGGCGUGGUAACCAACGCACGCAUAGCUACUUGGCUAAUGAUGCUCCAAGGACGGGACGCCGAGGCAAGAUAUGCCCAAAACCAAAGAUAAUCCCUAGGAAACAGGCUAGCAGCCUGCCAGAACUGUUCAACGGACACGCUGCACACAGCAGCAGAACCCAAAGAACCGUUACCACCACAACUGACAAACCACAGGUACUUCGAGGAGAAUGUGUGCGAAGGGAUGCCCACAGCAUAUGUCGAUGGCUGCUCCUACAAUCAACAGGGCAACUUGAAAGCUGGAGCGGGAGUGGUCUGGCUCAACAAUGCCCCUUGCCCGCCGCAACAACUCAAAUUAGGCCCUCACUCAUCGCAAUACGCAGAAAUAGCGGCCAUCCUCAUCACCCUACAAUUUGCUGCAUCCCACAACAUCAAAGAACUCCUCAUCUGUACCGACUCGAACUAUGCCCGUCUAAGCUUCACAUGCCAUCUAGCUGGAUGGAAACAGAAUGGAUUCAAGACGGCUAACAACAAGCCUGUCAAACAUCAGGAACUCUUCCAAGCAUGCGAAGCCAUUGUCACUGAACAUGACAUGAUCGUUUAUUGGAAAAAGGUCCGAGGCCACUCACGUCAACCAGGACAAA